GAUGAACGCUGGCGGCGUGCUUAACACAUGCAAGUCGAACGGGAUCCGGGCAGCUUGCUGCCUGGUGAGAGUGGCGAACGGGUGAGUAAUGCGUGACCAACCUGCCCCAUGCUUCGGAAUAGCUCCUGGAAACGGGUGGUAAUGCCGGAUGCUCCGCACCGUCGCAUGAUGGUGUGGGAAAGGGUUUACCGGCAUGGGAUGGGGUCGCGUCCUAUCAGCUUGUUGGCGGGGUGAUGGCCUGCCAAGGCUUCGACGGGUAGCCGGCCUGAGAGGGCGACCGGCCACAUUGGGACUGAGAUACGGCCCAGACUCCUACGGGAGGCAGCAGUGGGGAAUAUUGCACAAUGGGCGAAAGCCUGAUGCAGCGACGCCGCGUGCGGGAUGACGGCCUUCGGGUUGUAAACCGCUUUUGAUUGGGAGCAAGCGAGAGUGAGUGUACCUUUCGAAUAAGCACCGGCUAACUACGUGCCAGCAGCCGCGGUAAUACGUAGGGUGCAAGCGUUAUCCGGGAUUUAUUGGGCGUAAAGAGCUCGUAGGCGGUUCGUCGCGUCUGGUGUGAAAGUCCAUCGCUUAACGGUGGAUCGGCGCCGGGUACGGGCGGACUGGAGUGCGGUAGGGGAGACUGGAAUUCCCGGUGUAACGGUGGAAUGUGUAGAUAUCGGGAAGAACACCGAUGGCGAAGGCAGGUCUCUGGGCCGUCACUGACGCUGAGGAGCGAAAGCGUGGGGAGCGAACA
rnacentral:rRNA from 1 species